GACGAACGCUGACGGCGUGCUUAACACAUGCAAGUCGAACGGUGAAGCGCCUUCCUUUUUGGCUGGUGUGGAUGAGUGGCGAACGGGUGAGUAACACGUUAGUAACCUGCCCCCUUCUUCUGGAUAACCGCAUGAAAGUGUGGCUAAUACGGGAUAUUCUGGGUCUGUCGCAUGAUUGGUCUGGGAAAGAUAUUGUUUCGGUGGUGGAUGGGCUCGCGUCCUAUCAGCUUGUUGGUGGGGUGAUGGCCUACCAAGGCGGUGACGGGUAGCCGGCCUGAGAGGGUCGGCGGUAACAGUGGGGAGGAGACGCGGACCAGCCUACGACGGGAAGCAGAAGUGGAGAAUAUUGCACAAUGGGCGCAAGCCUGAUGCAGCGACGCGGCGUGGGGGAUGGAGGCCUGAGCGUUGUGAUCCUCUUUCGCGAGUGAAGCAGGCCUGCCUCGUUUGUGGGUGGGUUGACGGUAGCUGGAGAAGAAGCGCCGGCUAACUACGUG
rnacentral:rRNA from 1 species